UACGUAGGGGGCAAGCGUUGUCCGGAAUCAUUGGGCGUAAAGAGCGUGUAGGCGGCCUGAUAAGUCGGCUGUGAAAGUCAAGGGCUCAACCCUUGAAUGCCGGCCGAUACUGUCAGGCUAGAGUCCGGAAGAGGCGAGUGGAAUUCCUGGUGUAGCGGUGAAAUGCGCAGAUAUCGGGAGGAACACCUAUGGCGAAGGCAGCUCGCUGGGACGGAACUGACGCUGAGGCGCGAAAGCGUGGGGAGCAAACAGG
rnacentral:rRNA from 1 species